CAUACAUACACACAUGCAUACAUACAUAGUAGAUAGAUACAUAGAUAGAUGUGUGCGUGGGUAGGUAGAUAGAGAGAGAGAUGGAUCUUUAUUAGGUACAAGUCCUUUACAAAAUUUAUUCUUUGCAAAUAUCUUCUCCAAGUGUAAGAAUUAGCAUUUCAUUUUCUUUUUUUGUUUGUUUGUUUAUUUCCUUGUUUGGGGUAUUUUGAGACAGGGUCUUUCUACAUAGCCAUAACUAUUCUAUAACUCAUUAUAUAGACCAGGCUGGCCUGAAACUCACAGAGAUCUGUUUCCCUAUGCCUCCUGAGUACUGGGAUUAAAGACAUGUGCCACCACUUCCCGGCUAAGACUGUCUAUCACAUUUUUUCUUAACACAUUUUAUUGUUUUAUAUUUUAUGCUUAGGUCUAUUUUUCACUGUGAGGCUUUUUAAUGUGAAUGUGAGAUAAAGUAUGGGUUGAAGUACUCUUUUGCAUAUGGGUAUCUAAUUGCUGUUUUAAUUAGUGUAGCUGUGAACAAGCCUUGAAGUCAUGGGAUGUUAGUCUUCUGCAUUUGUUCCUUUAUCCCCCAAAGCUUUGUUCUGGUUCCGCAGUAUUUCUAAAUAAAAUUUGGAAUCCCCUUAUGAGUUUCUGUAAGAAAAUUCUGUUCUGGUUUUUAUUGGGGUCACACUGAUGUCUACAUCAAAGGGGACACUUACUGUCUCAGCAAUGCUCCAUCCUCUGGUCCUUGAACAAAGCACAUCUCUGUGUCAAGGUCCUCACUAUAGGAAAGGUUUUAUAGUUUUCAAAGAGCAGGACCUUACACAUUUUGGGGUCUUGUUUACACUUGUUUUGUUCUAAAAUGUGGUUAUAAAUGAAAUAUUUUAUUAUUUCAGUUUCCAAAUGUGAACUAUUAGUAAACACAAAUCCAGCUGCUGGUUAUACAUUAGCAUCCUGACAAACUUAUUUCUUACCUUCCCAGUUCUAAACAAUUGUGAAUGAUUGUUUUGUGCUUUGGGGUUUUAGUUUUUGUAAACUCCAUCAAAUUUUCUAUAAAAGUCUCAUUUCUUCCAAAACAUUUUAGAAACUAGAUGUGGGAACACAAGUCUAUAAUCCCAGCACUCAUGGGGGCAGAAUGACCACAAAUCAGCUGGGCUACAUAGUUCAUCCUGUCUCAAAAACACAAACAUUUUUUAUCUAAUUUAGCAUAAAUUAUAUUUUUUUUGCCUAUUCCUUGGACAUUCAGAGAGGUAAUGUUACAAGUCUUGCCUGUUCAGCGUCUGAAAGACCAAAGCUGAGAUCCUAGCAAAGCCAGCAGAAUUUCAUGAAUUGAAGACAUUUUAUUUAUAUUUAACUUUUUGGCAAAACAGAAACUUUGGUCAUAGUUCUAUAAAAAUGUUUAAAAAGAUGUAUUUCUGAUUAAAGUACUAUUUUAGCAAGUGACGCAUAAGUGUCAGAUAUAUCAGUUUUAUGCUCCUGUGUCAGUCACAUAGUGUUGUAUAGUGUGUGGCAGCCCCAAACCUCAAUAGCAAGCAGAAUUAAAUGUCUGUCUCUACAGAUCCUGGGCCUGUAGGGUGGACCUCACCUCUCUGCAGUGAGCUGGUUGACAAAGACGUUCUUAUCUGAGCUAGGCUGAACUCUUGCACGCCAUCAUCUGGGUGGUGGCUGAUCUAUGGUAGUUGAGACCAGUCCUACAACUCUGUUAUAAUGUCCGCUACCUUCUAGCCAGGUCAGCAUCUUCUCAAGAUUGUACCAGAAGACGAGAGCAGUUUUUCAAGACUUUGGAAGACAUUUCCUAAUAUCCUCAUUGAUCAAAAUUAUGUCAAAAGCCAGAAUCAUAGGAGGAGAAUGUUGGAGAGUUACAUGACAAGGGGCAUGGGUGCAGUAGCCAUGAUAAUUAAUGUGUCAAUACAACCAAUAGCAGUUAGAGCAAAGAACUAGUUAGUAUGGACGACAACAAAGGAGAGCCAUACAUCCAGUAUCUUCUCCCACAAGCAAUCGCGCUUGCGUUUUACCUCUGGCAGUAAAAUAGCGAAGCUUGCCAGUUGGUCUUUGCUUUGGAAAGGACUGAGGAGAUUACAGGAGAAAGUAAAGAAUGGGUACUGAAUGGACAAAUGCUUAAUUUUUAGGAAAUUCCUCAACUACAGAGAAGACCAGGAAUCCACUGCACAAAUGGAUUCCAGUAUAUAGAAUAUUAGGUAUUAAUUGGAAUGUUUUGGGUGAACAUGAUAGACAUCCAAGCGACAACUGAUAUUGUUGUUCUACUUUCUCUUUGCACCUAACUUUGAAUCUGUCCCUUAAUCAAUGGACUGGACAACACUAAUUGGCCAGCCUGGUCUUGAAUUCACCAUGUAAGAACUCUGUGUACCACAAACACAUAGCAUCUGUUAAUUUAAGAACACUUCUGUCACUUGGGAAUCGGUGUUCCAAACUGCUCAGUAUAUAUGUCCUGUACCUCAACAUCCAUGCCUAUUAACAAUGCCAACUUCGUCUUAACCCUAUGUCUUGUGGGCACCCUAUUCCUGAUACUACAGCUAGAUAACACUUUGGAGUAAGCAGAUUUCAGGGGCAGAAACACCAAGGUAAGAGAAGUAAUGCCUGGCUAAUUAUACAUAUCUUUAAACUUCUAUUACUGUGUGAUAUCCUUACUCAGGUGGAAAGAUGCUGCAGUUUGGUUCUUAAAAGUCCCCUCCUUCAAAAACCCCAUGUUAUAGGAACAGAGUCAAUUGCCUCACGCAUCCCUCUUCCUCAGUCUUUUAUCCAAGCUACCGUGAAGUGAUCAGCUUGUUCUGCCACACAACACCGUGUUAGACUGCCUCACUAGAAGUUCAAAGCAGUAGGACCAACCAAUCAUACAAAGGGGGCAGGGAAACAUGCAUCUGCUCUGAGCAACGUUACCGAUCCGAAGUUUUCUGAAGGAAAUAACGGAAGGGAAGAGUCACCAAUGUGACUAAACCAACGAUCCUGUAUCUGCUUCUGGUUAAAGCAUGAAGGAAACUUGGAGGUCACCUUGAAAAUUCCUUCAGUUCCCAGGAAAAUUAAAUAGAUGUUCUCCGAUUAUUCAACAUUUGGGGGAGCAGAUCCAGAUGUAAGCCCUCAGCUGCUCCUCCAGCACCGCGCCCACCUGCCAGUGGCCAUGCUUCCUGCCACGGUGAUAAUGGAGUCUACCCUCUGAAAUUUUAA